CUCUCCCUGUUUCAUGUUUGUCGUGUGUAAUUUCCUCUUUCUCAUAUGGCUAUUCACCACAAGAUCAAAGAUUUGAACCUCCUUAUAAUAUUUAUACUUAUUUAUAUAGAUAUUAUUUUAUGAAAAUAAAAUAAUAUUUGGAUUGCAUAUAUAUGCCACACUUUAGUUUGAGUUAAAUGGAAAGUAGUCCAGAAUGCACGCCACAAUGUUCUGAAAGCAUGGGACAAGACCUGCAAACAGAAGUCCUUGUUUUUUUUUUUUUGAUAAGGAAACAGUCCUUUAGACCUACAAAAGCACUAUGGC
rnacentral:lncRNA from 1 species